AUAGAUUAGAUAGAGCUAGUACAAGAUUACAAUCCUUGAAGAAGAGUGGUAAGCUAAAAUUAAAACCAAGUAAUCUAACUCUAAUACUCUAAGAACCAACACUUAUGCUCAUCUAUGGAGAAGAUGAGAUGGAGUGAGAAUUCUAAAGUCGCUAACCCUAGCUAGAACUUGGCCUCUACAGUUCACUAACAACUUUUCGAACCCUUGACACCAACACUUGGUUUUCCUUUUAUAGUACAAGACCAACCACUCCAAGUUGUACCCUUUAGUCAUUUUACACAUGAGCUGCCCUUAUCAUAUCCUACAUACUCAAGACAUAUAUUUUUUUUUAUUCCUAGGAUUUCAAUUAUUGGCGUCAACUCAUAAUUCUUCCACAUUAGGAAAUGGUCAGGCAUGGUCCCCUGGAUCCAUACUAGUUGUAUGACCCGACUAGCGAUUCAGGGAGCUGCAUCUUUCCAAAUCAUCAGCGAAACAAUGCGAAUCCUUACUGAAGCUUCCCAUAUCUCAAGAGUCAUUUCUCAUCCUGCAUCACCAAACAUCCACAACAAGCAUUAAUAGUUCAAAAUGACUUAUUAACACUAAAAAUUAAUUAAAACUACAAAAGCGUAAAUAGGAUUACAUGUCUUAGGCAAUGCAAUCAUUCAAUUUAUUGUUCAUUAUGGGAGUUAAGUGCAACGUGAUAACCAACUAUUUUACCGAUUAUUAGUAAUUUAGCCAAAACUUUAUACGAACUCAAUCCUACCAAUUUCUUUUUAUCAUGACUACAAAUAAAAUUUUAUGCAUCUAUUGUGAUUAAAACUUAUAGAACACGAUUGAGUCACAAAAGAAAUUCAAAAGUAAAAAGGAGAAAAAAAAUUAAUUAGAAAUUAAAUUUAAAACUCAAACACGAUCGACGUUCG
rnacentral:lncRNA from 1 species